rnacentral:rRNA from 1 species
AUUGAACGCUGGCGGCAGGCCUAACACAUGCAAGUCGAGCGGCAGCGGGAAAGUAGCUUGCUACUUUUGCCGGCGAGCGGCGGACGGGUGAGUAAUGCCUGGGAAAUUGCCCAGUCGAGGGGGAUAACAGUUGGAAACGACUGCUAAUACCGCAUACGCCCUACGGGGGAAAGCGGGGGACCUUCGGGCCUUGCGCGAUUGGAUAUGCCCAGGUGGGAUUAGCUAGUUGGUGAGGUAAUGGCUCACCAAGGCGACGAUCCCUAGCUGGUCUGAGAGGAUGAUCAGCCACACUGGAACUGAGACACGGUCCAGACUCCUACGGGAGGCAGCAGUGGGGAAUAUUGCACAACGGGGGAAACCCUGAUGCAGCCAUGCCGCGUGUGUGAAGAAGGCCUUCGGGUUGUAAAGCACUUUCAGCGAGGAGGAAAGGUUGAUGCCUAAUACGUAUCAACUGUGACGUUACUCGCAGAAGAAGCACCGGCUAACUCCGUGCCAGCCGCCGCGGUAA